AUCCGUAUUUAUAUGUAGUCUUCCUGGGACAUCUUCCCAAUUCCGCCUGCCCCUGCGGCUUUUGCUCGGUCAAGUGCAAGUGGCAAUUUAAAGAAUCGGAUGAGGUGGAGCCUGUUGGAACGAUGAAUCGGGUGUCCCAAUGUUGGCGCCCCCAUAUGCGCAUAAUUUCGAUGGAGUGCUGAAGAAAGUUUGCCGGCUCCUCGGCAUCGUUUCAUGUAGUUGAGCUUGUUGUUGGCCGGUAAGUGAAAUGAAAAGUGCAUAAAUCUGCCGAUCUGGCAGCGAAGUGCAGCGUAAAAAGCGGGGCGAUAAGAAUCGAAUCGAAGCUGUUUUUUUUUAUAUUAUUUUUUGUUUUUUUCUUUUUUUGGUUGGUUAAACGCAAGACAAAAGAACUUUCGCUUUCGUUGCGGUCUUUUUUCGGCCAGGUAAAAGUGGCCAGUGACUUGGUGCAUUAUUUAACCAAAUUUGGCCAUUGAAUGCAACCGGUCGAGAGUAGGUGCCCAAGCAACGCGAUAUAACAAUUAUGUGCGUUUAAUGAGCAGCGGGAGCAGAUCGAUCGAUCGGUGGGCUUGGAGAAGAAGCAGAAGGAGUUGCCGAUCAUGCUGCUGACGGAUGAGAUUGAUUGCAUAAGUGCAUAAGGAAAAACUGUCUGCCGGUUGCAACAUUGUCACCCGCUCCCGUGCCGCUUUUCAACUGCAGCUCCACCGCGUUGCAAUGCCGUUGCCGCCCCUACCUCCCAUGAUGAAGUGUGGAAACGGCAACAACAACAGCCACCACUCGGUACACUUAAUUGACAAGUGUGAAACUUUCGAUUUCUAUACACCCAUUGACAUACAAAACGAGCCAACCAAAGUCACACAGGAAGAAAAUAUAGAUCAGUGAUCGAUUAAUCAGUAAUUUCUAAUCCAAAUGUCAUGCUAAGGAAUAGCAAGCUUAAAGAUUUUCUUCCUGUGGAAUCUAAUGAUGCCGCCUGCUAUGAUUUGUUAUGUCUAAAUGUCACAAUUCUUCCAAGUGAUGGCGGAUCCCGGGCGGACAGGACAGGGCAGGAGGGCGGUCCGAGGAGGUGUUGGGUGCGCCUGGCCAGAUUCGAGUGAAGUGAAGUUUGAAGUUUGGAAUUGGUAGAGUGCGGGAAUACUUGGAGUACUCCGAACUUGCUAUCACUAUCGGCAGCUGAUGGCUCCGGCGAUAAUUGGC